rnacentral:lncRNA from 1 species
ACAGAGCGGCACUGUGCUGUUCCAAUCCCUCAGGGCCAGCUCAGGUUUCCGUGGACUGACCAAAGCCCACCCACACUGCAGAGGCCCACGUACCCAGCCCACAGAGCACCAGUCUCACCCAGAAGAACCCUCCAUCACGGGCAGAAGCUCUGGGGAGCAGGUAUCAGGCCUCCCUCCCUAGUCAGCCUGACUCGAUUCACUGUCUCCGCAGAUAACCGCACCCACUUGGCGGAUGUGCUAGAGAAGAGCAAAGUGCUUUGGCUGUGGGCUUGGCUUUCAUUCCCUUGCCAGGAUGUUGGGGUGAGAUGGGGCCAUGGUUGUGCAGACUGCAGAGGUGACAUUCACAUCACAGUCCACACAAAUGACCCUUUAGGGGUGGCAUCACCUGCUGCUCAGCCCUGCACAGAGGCCUGGGAUGUUCAGAAUUGCCACAGUACCCUCUUCAGGUUGUUCUUGGCAGGUGUGGGGUUUCUGCUGACCAGAAGUGCUGCUGGCAGGGCAGGCCCGGAAGGGGAUGCUGGGCAUGGUCCCUGCCAGGCUAAGCCUCUGGGAAGAUGCAGCAGUGCCAAACACAGACUACACAGGUCCCAAGUGCCUAAGAGAGACCUGUGCCUACCUGACUUCCUGCCCGCAGUCCUUCCUAUGUGACCGUGACCUUGCUAACUGACCACGGCUUUUUCACAUUACUGGGCUGGGUUUGGGUCACCAUGGGAACACAAAGGGGUUCUCCUCUCACAAACAGACCCUUCAGACUGUUG